rnacentral:rRNA from 1 species
GACGAACGCUGGCGGCAUGCCUAAUACAUGCAAGUCGAGCGAACAGAUGAAGUGCUUGCACUUCUGACGUUAGCGGCGAACGGGUGAGUAACACGUAAGGAAUCUACCUAUAAGCGGGGGAUAACAUUCGGAAACGGGUGCUAAUACCGCAUAAUAUCUUCUUCCGCAUGGAAGAAGAUUGAAAGACGGCUCUGCUGUCACUUAUAGAUGACCUUGCGGUGCAUUAGUUAGUUGGUGGGGUAACGGCCUACCAAGACGAUGAUGCAUAGCCGACCUGAGAGGGUGAUCGGCCACAUUGGGACUGAGACACGGCCCAAACUCCUACGGGAGGCAGCAGUAGGGAAUCUUCCGCAAUGGGCGAAAGCCUGACGGAGCAAUGCCGCGUGAGUGAAGAAGGCCUUCGGGUCGUAAAACUCUGUUAUAAGAGAAGAACAAAUUGUAGAGUAACUGCUACAGUCUUGACGGUAUCUUAUCAGAAAGCCACGGCUAACUACGUG